rnacentral:rRNA from 1 species
CACGCUGUAAACGAUGAUCACUGGAUAUGGGAUUUGCGAAGCAGAUUCUGUGUCGAAGCUAACGCGUUAAGUGAUCCGCCUGGGGAGUACGGUCGCAAGAUUAAAACUCAAAGAAAUUGACGGGGGUCCGCACAAGCGGUGGAACAUGUGGUUUAAUUCGACACUACGCGAGGAACCUUACCUAGGCUUGACAUGUAACUGCUACCGAUAGAAAUAUUGGGUUUUACGGGAAACCGUGAACGGUUACACAGGUGC